rnacentral:rRNA from 1 species
GUGCCCUCCGGGCGGCAGCAGUGGGGAAUAUUGCGCAAUGGGCGAAAGCCUGACGCAUCUACUCCUCUUUAUUUAUUAAUGUCUUCGGAUCGUAAACCUCUGUCAGCAGGGAAGAACGGUCACUGUGCCAAUCAGCAGUGAAUUGACGGUACCUGCAAAGGAAGCACCGGCUAACUCCGUGCCAGCAGCCGCGGUAAUACGGAGGGUGCGAGCGUUAAUCGGAAUUACUGGGCGUAAAGCGCUCGUAGGCGGUAUGUCAAGUCAAGGGUGAAAUCCCCGCGCUCAACGUGGGAACUGCCUUUGAA